UAUAUGAGAUAGAAUACUAUUAAUAGUAUUUGGACUAUUUUGCUAUUAAUUUUUUAAUUAUUAAAUCUACACAAUCAAUCACACCCUUUAGAUCAUACUAUUCAACCAACCACCCACUCAAUCAUAGAGAGACCACCAUUAAAUCCCAGGAGACGCUAUCAUUUUAACCUUACAAUUUUUCAUCCUAACCCAGCUAUAGUAUUUUGAACAUUNUGAUGUUGAAAAGAUUUGAAAUUUGAUUUCUAAACACUUCAAGUGGCAUAGAUCAUGUUCAACGGUACCGAUCAUCAAUUUGGAAGCUCCAUCAUCGAAAAUAAAUGGGUGGCAAUGGAGCUCGUUUGCUAUCGAUAGUAUUCUAGCUCAACUCUAUAUAUAUAUAUAUAUAUAUAUAUAUAUAUAUAUAUAUAUAAAGUAGAGUUACUAUACUAUUCGAAGUAUAGAGAAUUUGAUACUUUCAUUUUUUUGGCUCUUAGAUUAGCCUUUUAAUCAGAAGUAUAGAUAAUUUGAUACUUUCAAUUUUUUAGCUCUUAUAUCAGUCUUUUUAAUUAUUUUUAAUCUUUAGAUUACAUUUUUAAUCUUUGGAUUAAUACUAUUAUUCUGUGGUGACUACUCAAUCCCAAGAAUAUUAUUCAACUUUAGAGGGGACCGUCAUCAUCUCAAUCGUACAAUUCUUUAUCCAAGAGUCAAAAAAUCGAAAGCAUCAAAUCCUCUGUAUUUUCGAUAGCAUAGUAACUCUAACUCUACACUAUAUAUAUAUAGAAUUAGGCUACUAUACUAUUUAUAGUACCGGAGCUCCGGUACUAUAGUCUUAUUUUCGAUCUCAGGAUAUUCAAAUUAAUAAUUCACACCGUUAAAUAUGAUCUAGGGUAUAUGAAGUUCUUAGGAAUAAAAUUUUAGUUUUUUUUUACAUCGUUUACUAAGUAAAUAAAUUAUNAUACCGUUAAACGUUAUUUACAGUAUUUAUAACUUCUAGAAAUCAAAUUUUAUAAUUUUUCGACAUCAUUUACCUUACGAUCAAGAGGUCACAAAUUUGACAAUUUUUAAUGGCCGGUAUGGGAUACUUGCUAGUUUAACGGUGUAAAAGAAUUGGAAUUUGUUGAAUUUUUGAUAGAAAAUUCUAUUCACUACCUAGAUAAAGAUCAAUAACUCCGAUCUUGAAUUGAAGGAUCCGAUCAUCCUUUUUAGAAUGUCGUUCGAUUUUGACCGUUCAUUUUAUGCCCGCAUGAUGGACUUUAUUAUGAUUUUGAAAAUUUACGAAAUUUAUUUUCUAGAAGUUUCAAAUACUUUAGAUCAUAUUUAACGGAGUGGAUCGUCGAUUCGAAAGCUCCAUCAUCGAAAACAACUUAUGAGUACGAGGGCUCCAACACUCAUAAUAGUAUAGUAGUCAUGGCCUAUAUAUAUAUAUAGAGUCCGGCUAUGGUGCUUGUAAAAGCACCAAGCACUUGGUGCUUGUGAAUUUUUUACCGUUAGAUUUACGACUUUGAUCAUUUUCAUCCAUUAGAUUAUACUAUUCAACCAACCACCCACUUAACCCAAGGGGGCCCACAUGAUCCUAACCGCACAUCUAUUAAUCCAAAGGCUAAAAACUUACAAGCACCAAUGACUUGGUACUUUUAAAAGCAUAGGAGCUCAAUUAUAUAUAUAUAUAUAGGCUGGGGCUACUAUACUCCUAUGAGUACAGAACCCUUUGUACUCAUAAAUUUUUAACCGUUGAUUGAUAGGAUGUGUGGUUAGGAUGAUGGCGGUCCCCACUUAGAAUGAUAGUGGUCCCCUAGGGUUGAGUGGGUAGUUGGUUGAAUAGUAUGAUCUAACGGGUGGAAAUGAUCAUGGAAUAAAUCUAAGGGCUGAAAAUUUAUGAGUAUAAGGGAGCCAAUACUCAUAAAAGUAUAGUAGCCGGACUCUAUAUAUAUAUAGAGUCCGGCUAUUAUACUAUUAUGAGUACGAUCGCCCUCGUACUCAUAAGUUAUUUUCGGUGAUAGAGCUUCCAAAUCGACGAUCCAUACCAUUAAACGUUAUCUAGAGCAUUUGAAACAUCUAGAAAUCAAAUUUCAUAACUUUUUGACAUCCUUUACCUUACGAUCAAAAGCUCACAAAAUUGAUAAUUUUUAACGGCCGGUAUGGAAUACUUGCUAGUUUAACGGUGCAGAAGAAUCCGAAUAGGUUGAAUUUUUGAUAGAAAAUUCUAUUCACUAACUAGAUAAAGAUCAAUAACUCCGAUCUUAAAUUGAAGGAUCCGAUUAUCCAUUUUUAAGAUAUCGUUCGAUUUGACCGUUCAUUUUAUGCCCGCUUGAUGGACUUUAUUAUGAUUUCGAAAAAUUACGAAAUUUAUUUUCUAGAAGUUUCAAAUACUCUAGAGCAUAUUUAACGGAGUGGAUCAUCGAUUCGGAAGCUCCAUCAUCGAAAACAACUUAUGAAUAUGAAGGACCCAAUACUCAUAAUAGUAUAGUAGUCCUACUCUAUAUAUAUAUAUAGUAGGUCUUGUGUGCUAUUAGGAGCACGGAGGCUUCUGUGCUCCUAAGCCGUUUUCAAUGAUGGAGCUUCCGAAUCGACAAUCGGCUCCGUUAGACUUGAUCUAGCAUGUUUGAAGCAUCUAGAAAAUAAAUUUUGUGACUUUUCGAUAUCAUUUACCUAAUGAUCGAAAGGGUUCAAAAUCAACGGCUGAAAAUAAAAAUUUCACAAAAAGUGGUGAUAUAGCAUUAAAAUUUUCGAUCAAACAUAUUGAUCUUGCUGUAAAUAGUAUAAAGAAUUUUCUAUCAAAAUUUCAUCUGAUUUGAAUACUUCUAUACCGUUAAACUUACAAACGGUAUACAUCAACCAUUAAAAAUUGUUGAUUUUGAACUCUUUCGAUCGCUAGGAAAAUGAUACUGAAAAAUCACAAAAAUUAUUUUCUAGAUAGUUCAAAUACGCUAGAUCAAGUCUAACGGAGCCGAUCAUCGAUUCGGAAGCUCUAUCAUCGAAAACGGCUUAGGAGCACGGAGGCCUCCGUGCUCCUAAUAGCACACAAGACCUACUCUAUAU
rnacentral:lncRNA from 1 species